CAAUACUUUGGUAUCUAACUAUCACCCGAGAUCAUUGCUCCCUGUAUUGUCAAAAAUCCUGGAAAAAUGCGUCCACAUGCAACUAUGUGAAUAUUAUCAACAAUCAAAUUAUCUGGCCUCUGAUCAAUCAGGCUUUCGUCCAAAUCACUCAACUUCGACUGCCCUCUUAAAAGUUUGCAAUGACAUCCAAAUUGGCAUGGAACAAGGAGACUUAACUGGAGCAAUUUUCCUUGAUUUUGCCAUCGCUGGAAUCCCGACGCACUCUUCAUCUUUCCAGCCUUGUGCAAAAGAGCAUUUCUGGGAAGCUCCCACUCUACCUAAGUAGAAUGCUCUCCCCAGCUGCUCCUAACCUCCAAUCCAGUACUAGCAUGAUAUUUAGCAUACCGCAAUACAAAAACAAAGUGGCUUGAUCCUCAUUUUCCUACAGAGCAGCACAAUUAUGGAAUAACCUCAGGGACACAGUCAAAUCUUUAUUCAAUCUAAAAUCUUUUAAGAGAUCUCUGGCAAUAUACCUCAGCACAGAAUGCACCUGUCAUGGUUGAAUAUAUGUAUUACCUGUUGUGUAUUAAAUUUAUAUAUGUGUG